GAUGAAGAACGCAGCGAAAUGCGAUACGUAAUGUGAAUUGCAAAUUCAGUGAAUCAUCGAGUCUUUGAACGCACAUUGCGCCCCCUGGUAUUCCGGGGGGCAUGCCUGUCCGAGCGUCUUUGCUGCCCUCAAGCACGGCUUGUGUGUUGGGCCCCGUCCUCCGAUCCCGGGGGACGGGCCCGAAAGGCAGCGGCGGCACCGCGUCCGGUCCUCGAGCGUAUGGGGCUUUGUCACCCGCUCUGUAGGCCCGGCCGGCGCUUGCCGAUCAACCCAAAUUUUUAUCCAGGUUGACCUCGGAUCAGGUAGGGAUACCCGCUGAACUUAAGCAUAUCAAUAAGCGGAGGA
rnacentral:misc_RNA from 1 species